UGUUGCUACUCUAGGUAAGAAAGUAAGUCUGCUCAAGAGAAAUUAAAUAUUGUACUCACAACUUAUUUAAACCUUCCUUGGAGAAAACUUAACUGUCCUCUAGUAAUGGAUAGUGCUACUUUAAUCUUCCAUGAUGAUGACAUUCCUGCUUCUCACCCAGCGUUACAAAACCACAGAUUACCAUGAUGCUACUCUAGCAUGUGUUUUGCUGGGCUGGAUACAGUCUGUGGAGUCUGAGGGGGAGAGAGAGCUUGUGGGCAAGAGGAGGGGUCUGUUUGGACACUUUCUCAGAAGGUGGAAUUAGGAUAAUUUCCUUCCCUCUUAUGUCCUUCAAGUAUAGGUCUUCCUUGCAGAUGCGGUUCACUUCAAGAGCGUGCUGGUUCUCCAGUGCAGCAGCUGCGCUGCACCAGCACAGUCAGCAUGCUCUACCGUCAGAUCCUCACAGCCUCCUGAAGUGUCUAGGUGCACAAGAGGUUGUUCUGCCCUGCAAAAUGCCAGAUUGGGGCUUCUGCUUGCCGUGGGACUUGUGUGUGCAUCUGUUUGAAACAUCUUGUCUUAUUUUGGAUGCCUGGCUUGCUCUGUAGCAGAACCAUGUGGCAAGAUGCCUCUCACCUCAGAUGUCCAAGGAACCCUGUUGUCCUGUGACAAAACAGAGCUGGGCUCUUUUACUGAAGCUGAUGACUAGCAAGCCAAACUUGGGAAGCUCUAAGAAAUUGAGUCCCUAGCUAACAGAUCCAUACCUGCAACUAUAAUGUCAACAUGUGACCAUGAUUGUGAAAAAAGCUGCAUAGAUUUCUGCUCCUGGAAGCUUUAUCACCAGGCAACUGACAGAGACUAGGGAGGAAAAAAAAAAAAGGGGGGGGGGGGGGGGGACAUUUAAGAAAAACUUCAAGGAUUUAGGUACUUUUCCAGAUGCAAACCGGAGGUCCUAUCACGACAACUUCAGUAGGAGGUAAGAUCUUGAUGAUUGUUUUAGGUUUUGUAUUGCUCCCUGUUCUGGAAAUGCAAUUUUUUAUUGGAGAUGGUUGGUAUUUAAAAGGAUUUUCUGAAAGGGCUAGCAGUGGCUGCUGAUGUUAUCUGAAUCUCUUCCCUUUAGGACAGCAAGCUGAUGGACGGGUUGGGUUAGUAGUUGCAGCUUGACAUUAAAAAUCAGUUGUGUGCAUGUGCAAUCCUUUAAUACGGUAUGGUGUAACACAGACGAGGCAUAGAUACCUGCUCUCUGUAUGUGCUAGGGAGGCAGUAAAUAUCAGCAAGGGGCCAGGCAAAAUGCUGAACACUGAAAUCUGCUCAGCCACCACGUCUGCCUGGCCCUGCAUAUUGCAGCUGCUGGUUUGGGAGUGGUGCUUUCGAGAGCUGUUGCUGUCCUCUCCUGUGCACAUGCUCUCUAUGGUCUCCACCAAGCAAAGAUGGAGAAGAAGGUGGUUUUCCUGUGAGACAGCAAUGUGAUACAUUCCUCUAAGUCCGUUCAACCCUCCGCUGAGGGAAUAUUUCUUUCUCAGAGCUGCCAUCAGAAAGCCAGAGUUUUUUUGUUCAGUUUACAGGCGGUAGGCCCAUAGUAUCAAUUAUCCAGCGUUUUUGGUGGAGUAGUGCCAAAGUUGUGCAUCUCAGUUUAUGUGGGAUUGACCAGCUUUCACAUCUCUAUUACUCUGUGAUUUUGACUCUUGUUUUGCUCUGAAAAUUUUAGGCCAGCAUGCACAAGAAAGAUGACAGCUGCACCAGUGUCUGUCACUAAAGUCUGAGAAGUGGAAUAGUUUGUUGAUGUCAGCAGGGUUAUUUUCUAUUUCUCAACUAUGUGAGAGAAAAGUCAGAUCAAUUAUGCAUCUCACUCCUACAUAACUAAUCAUAGAAUCAUAAAUGGAUGGACAAGGGUAUUUUUCAGCUGACAUCUAGUAUGAUAAAUAAGUCAAGAUGAAGAGAUUAUUUUCUUCAGUUUGCUUUUUUCAUGUAAUGUAUAAUAAGUAGGUGAAUUGGUGAAAUAUAAUGUGUGACAGAUAACAAAUAAGUCACAAACUUUAUACUUUUGAAUGGAUGCCCUGAUGUGGGGGACUACACAUGUGCUCUUGUACAUAAUUUGCCAUGUCUGAUUUCACCUCGACAUUGAAGUUGUACUUUGAACUGAUUUCCACAGAUGGAAAGUCAGAUUUCCUAGGAUUGUAGUAAUUUUUACAGCCCUAAAAUUCUUGUAUUAGGAAUGCAACCAUGCAUUGAGUUUCUUAGUGAAUUUUAAAAGUAAAUUUAACGUAUUUACUUUUUUCAAGGAAUAAGACUUCAUUAGGAAUUAUGAUAUUAAUAGGUAACUCCUAAAUAGCUCAGCACUGCUUUGCUUUUCUGCAUUGUGCAAACCAGCCUCUCAGUCAUUGUGACUGUAAUAUCAAGGUGGCAGCAGAGGCAAGUCUUUGCUUCAUUGCAGAGUAAUUUAAGUGCAACAGCCAGGUGUGAUAUUUGAAGUGGUGGCUCAUAGUAACAUGGUUCCCACAAGGGAACAAUCUAGUUCCUUUCAGAAAAGCUUGCAUGACCAAUAGCCUCGCUCAAGUACAGAAUGAUAUCUCAUAGUCCCUUAGUCCUUGUCUUUUAGGUACAUCACAAGCGAUGAUGAAGGAAGGUAAGGAUUUUUUUUCUGGUGUAGUCCAUGAGUCUGUGAUGUUUUGUGGUAUGGAUCCAUAGUCAUGGAUUAGCCAAGCCCUUUUUAUUUGUUGGUUUUUAAAUGUCACCUUCUCAAAGCACUAACAGAUUGAUUCUAAUGAAGGCUAGAUCUUCUCUUUUUUGUUCUCUUAAAUUGUUCUUUGAUACGAUCUUCAACAGCUCCCUCCACUGACUUUUUAUAAGGAUAUAUAAAAUAAUAAAAACAAUAGUAUAUCAUUAAAAAAAAAAAAAACAUAUGUAGUAUCUUUUUAAUUAACCUGAAAAAGAAUGUAAUAAUAGCUUGCAGACACAGGAUGUAAUUUUUAUACGAGUUUAUGAAUUCCAAAAAAUCACUCUCUUUUUUUUUUUUUUUUUUUUCAACUCCAUAAGUUUAAAAAUAAAUAUUUGUCUGAUAGCAAAACACAGUGCUAAGGAUUUCAAAGUUUCCAAUAUGUCUAUAUUUGCCAGCCAAUAUUAAAACAAGCUUCCUGUACUCAUAAGAUUUAAUUUAAUACAGCCAUUGCUUCUGGUGUUCACUUUCUGUGAAACAUACAGGAAGGAUACAAAAUAAUGACUCAGCAAAAAGUAAUACUUGAAGCAAAAGAUGCACUUAGAUCACUUAAAUUUAAAUGGGGAUAUGUCUCCCACUGGUAGCUCUAGUGCUUUGAAUUCUGGAAAUAUUAUUAAGGCUGGCACAAACCUCUGUUUCAUCACAACCAUGUCACAACGUGUUAUGUGAUAUCUGUGUUAUUAUUCAUGUGGUAAAUUGGAACUGUCUUAUAUAUGAUAAGAUACUGUCCAUCAAAACAAAAUUUAUGGAAUUCUUCUCUUA